rnacentral:rRNA from 1 species
UAACACGUAAACAGCCUGCCUUCAGGAUGGGGACAACAGACGGAAACGACUGCUAAUACCGAAUAAGUUCCAAGAGCCGCAUGGCCCAUGGAAGAAAAGGUGGCCUCUACCUGUAAGCUAUCGCCUGAAGAGGGGUUUGCGUCUGAUUAGCUGGUUGGAGGGGUAACGGCCCACCAAGGCGACGAUCAGUAGCCGGUCUGAGAGGAUGAACGGCCACACUGGAACUGAGACACGGUCCAGACUCCUACGGGAGGCAGCUG